rnacentral:rRNA from 1 species
GCUUGUCUCAAAGAUUAAGCCAUGCAUGUCUCAGUAUAAGUUCCUGUACGGCGAAACUGCGAAUGGCUCAUUAAAACAGUUACAGUUUAUUUGAUAGUACCUUACUACAUGGAUAACCGUGGUAAUUCUAGAGCUAAUACAUGCUAAAAACCUCGACUUCGGAAGGGGUGUAUUUAUUAGAUAAAAAACCAAUGCCCUUCGGGGCUCCUUGGUGAAUCAUAAUAACUUAACGAAUCGCAUGGCCUUGCGCCGGCGAUGGUUCAUUCAAAUUUCUGCCCUAUCAACUUUCGAUGGUAGGAUAGUGGCCUACCAUGGUAUCAACGGGUAACGGGGAAUUAGGGUUCGACUCCGGAGAGGGAGCCUGAGAAACGGCUACCACAUCCAAGGAAGGCAGCAGG